CCUACGGGGGGCAGCAGUGGGGAAUAUUGCACAAUGGGCGCAAGCCUGAUGCAGCCAUGCCGCGUGUGUGAAGAAGGCCUUCGGGUUGUAAAGCACUUUCAGCGGGGAGGAAGGCGGUGAGGUUAAUAACCUCAUCGAUUGACGUUACCCGCAGAAGAAGCACCGGCUAACUCCGUGCCAGCAGCCGCGGUAAUACGGAGGGUGCAAGCGUUAAUCGGAAUUACUGGGCGUAAAGCGCACGCAGGCGGUCUGUCAAGUCGGAUGUGAAAUCCCCGGGCUCAACCUGGGAACUGCAUUCGAAACUGGCAGGCUAGAGUCUUGUAGAGGGGGGUAGAAUUCCAGGUGUAGCGGUGAAAUGCGUAGAGAUCUGGAGGAAUACCGGUGGCGAAGGCGGCCCCCUGGACAAAGACUGACGCUCAGGUGCGAAUGCGUGGGGAGCAAACAGGAUUAGAUACCCGUGUAGUC
rnacentral:rRNA from 1 species